rnacentral:rRNA from 1 species
GAUGAACGCUAGCGACAGGCUUAACACAUGCAAGUCGAGGGGCAGCGGGGUAGUGCUUGCACUACUGCCGGCGACCGGCGCACGGGUGAGUAACACGUAUGGAACCUGCCCGCAGCAGGGGGAUAAGCGGAAGAAAUUCCGUCUAAUACCGCGUAACAACGUUGGGAGGCAUCUCCCGAUGUUUAAAGAUUUAUCGGCUGCGGAUGGCCAUGCGGCGCAUUAGCUAGUCGGCGGGGUAACGGCCCACCGAGGCGACGAUGCGUAGGGGUUCUGAGAGGAAGGUCCCCCACACUGGUACUGAGACACGGACCAGACUCCUACGGGAGGCAGCAGUGAGGAAUAUUGGUCAAUGGCCGAGAGGCUGAACCAGCCAAGUCGCGUGAGGGAUGACGGCCCUACGGGUUGUAAACCUCUUUUGUCGGGGAGCAAAGGGAGUCACGUGUGACUCAUUGAGAGUACCCGAAGAAAAAGCAUCGGCUAACUCCGUGCCAGCAGCCGCGGUAAUACGGAGGAUGCGAGCGUUAUCCGGAUUUAUUGGGUUUAAAGGGUGCGCAGGCGGAGGUGCAAGUCAGCGGCCAAAUUGCGGGGCUCAACCCCGUACUGCCGUUGAAACUGCAUCCCUUGAGUGCGCGAGAAGUAUGCGGAAUGCGUGGUGUAGCGGUGAAAUGCAUAGAUAUCACGCAGAACUCCGAUUGCGAAGGCAGCAUACCGGCGCGCAACUGACGCUCAUGCACGAAAGCGGGGGUAUCGAACAGGAUUAGAUACCCUGGUAGCCCCCCCGGUAAACGAUGAACACUAACUUUUCGGCCAAAAUGAUGGCUGAGUGGUACAGCGAAAGCGUUAAGUGUUCCACCUGGGGGAGUACGCCGGCAACGGUGAAACUCAAAGGAAUUGACGGGGGCCCGCACAAGCGGAGGAACAUGUGGUUUAAUUCGAUGAUACGCGAGGAACCUUACCCGGGCUCAAACGACACAGGAAUACUUUUGAAAGGAGGUAGCCCUACGGGGUCUGUGUCGAGGUGCUGCAUGGUUGUCGUCAGCUCGUGCCGUGAGGUGUCGGCUUAAGUGCCAUAACGAGCGCAACCCCUAUCGCCAGUUGCCAUCAAGUAAAGUUGGGGACUCUGGCGAGACUGCCGGCGCAAGCUGUGAGGAAGGCGGGGAUGACGUCAAAUCAGCACGGCCCUUACGUCCGGGGCGACACACGUGUUACAAUGGCAGGUACAGAGAGAAGCCAGGUGGCGACACCGAGCGGAACUCGAAAGCCUGUCUCAGUUCGGAUCGGAGUCUGCAACCCGACUCCGUGAAGCUGGAUUCGCUAGUAAUCGCGCAUCAGCCAUGGCGCGGUGAAUACGUUCCCGGGCCU